GAGGAGCAUCUCCGCCCGGCAGCCACCCCGUCCGGGAGGGAGAGGAGAAGCUAAUUUUAUUGUUUCCCAUCAUUAAAUAUGAAACAGAAAAUCUAUAGAGAAGGAAAAAGAGCUCCAUAGAAUAUAAUUCAAAUAUGAAAAAAAUCCUCAUCUUGUGAGACCUUUGCAUUUGUCUGGCCUUCAGAGUGUGAAUGAAAGAAAAUGAGAUCUGGAACCUUGAUGCUAUUGAAUCAAACUCUACUUUCCUCGCUUGUAAAUUGGGGUAGGGUAACAACCAUGAUAAUUAUGACAACAGCAGCCAGCUUUCCUCCUUGCCUCAUACAAUCUUUGUGAGGCUUAAAUGACCAAAUAAUAUUGGAUGCUUUACAUUUGCCUGACACUCUGUAUUAGUCUGUUCUCACAGUGCUAUGAAGAAAUACCCAAGACUGGGUAAUUUAUAAAG
rnacentral:lncRNA from 1 species